UACGAAGGGGGCUAGCGUUGCUCGGAUUGACUGGGCGUAAAGGGCGCGUAGGCGGUUCGUACAGUCAGACGUGAAAUUCCUGGGCUCAACCUGGGAGCUGCGUUUGAUACGUGCGGACUUGAGUGCGGAAGAGGGUCGUGGAAUUCCCAGUGUAGAGGUGAAAUUCGUAGAUAUUGGGAAGAACACCGGCGGCGAAGGCGGCGAACUGGUCCGAUACUGACGCUGAGGCGCGAAAGCGUGGGGAGCAAACAGG
rnacentral:rRNA from 1 species